GAAAUAAAAACUCAAAGCUAGCUAGCUCUAUAGAGUACUACGACUACUAGUAGUAGAUUAAUUAUUAAAGUUUAGUGGUCUGAUGAUCAAGUGAUCCAUCCUUUUUUCUAGUGACCCGAAUGUAGCAAUAAACAGCAGCAAAAGGCCCCCAAUGAUCACCCCUCCACCAGCCACCGACUUAUUAUCAGACGAUGCAUGAUGCUUUCCCAGCCGUCUCAUCUGAUCCGCACCUUCAUGAACACCUGAUCCUGAUGAGGACUCUUCUUUCUCAUCCUCUCCCUCUGCCGGCGAUGCUUUACUUGAAAUGGGCGGCUUUGCUUAGCUAGUCGUCGGAGAUGUUCGAUUAUUUAGUGGGUAGAGAUCUGAAGCUUCGGAUCUGGAAGCUGCUGCAAUUGCCUGGACCAAAAAGAUCAGCACCAAACAAGCCAC
rnacentral:lncRNA from 1 species